rnacentral:rRNA from 1 species
AUUGAACGCUGGCGGCAUGCCUUACACAUGCAAGUCGAACGGCAGCACGGAGCUUGCUCUGGUGGCGAGUGGCGAACGGGUGAGUAAUAUAUCGGAACGUACCCUAGAGUGGGGAUAACGUAGCGAAAGUUACGCUAAUACCGCAUACGAUCUAAGGAUGAAAGUGGGGGAUCGCAAGACCUCAUGCUCGUGGAGCGGCCGAUAUCUGAUUAGCUAGUUGGUAGGGUAAAAGCCUACCAAGGCAUCGAUCAGUAGCUGGUCUGAGAGGACGACCAGCCACACUGGAACUGAGACACGGUCCAGACUCCUACGGGAGGCAGCAGUGGGGAAUUUUGGACAAUGGGCGAAAGCCUGAUCCAGCAAUGCCGCGUGAGUGAAGAAGGCCU